rnacentral:rRNA from 1 species
AUGGACUUUGUGGAGGGCUUGCCGCGCUCCGAAGGAUACGACACGAUCAUGGUGGUUGUCGACGGGGUCACCAAGUUCGCCCACUUUGUUCCUCUUUGGCACCCCUUCAACGCCAAGCAGGUGGCGCGCGCAUUCUGGGAGAAUGUAGUGAAGCUGCACGGCAUUCCGGCGUCCAUCGUCUCCGAUCGCGACAAGAUCUUCACAAGCCACCUAUGGCGCGAGCUGGUCGCGGGCACUGGCACCAAGCUGCUCUAG